rnacentral:ncRNA from 1 species
CGCAGCGCGUGCCUGACGACCACCUUGGAAAAGGACAGGCCCUUCAGCCGCGCGGUGCGGAUGUAUUGCUGCGUCAUCACCUCGACCAUCGAGGCCCGUGUCAUGCGUGCGAUGUAACCGAUGCCGUAGAUCGCCAGCGUGAUCACCGGCAGCGUGAAAUUGUAGAACGUG